GAGGAUUUAACUCAUACCCUUUCAUCUAUAUAAACUAAAUUGGUUUCACAAUCAAUCUCACAUUCUUGACCACUUACAAAUUUCCAUUGUCCCGCAAAUUUCUUUGAAAUCUUUUGCUUGUUCUUCAUCUAAACACAUCUAAAAAAACAUGGGUUUUCGUUUGCCCGGUAUUACUCAUGCUAAGCAAAAAUUUCGACACUCCCCCUCGAACCAAGCUGCUCCAAAGGGCUAUUUUGCAGUCUAUAUUGGGGAAAGCCAAAAGAAGCGGUUUGUGAUUCCAAUAUCAUACUUGAACCAGCCUUCGUUCAAAGACUUGCUAAGCCAGGCUGAAGAAGAAUUUGGAUAUAAUCAUCCCAUGGGUGGUAUCACAAUCCUUUGCAGUGAAGACAGAUUCCUUGACCUCAUUUCUAGCUCCAGUGGAUGAGACUGGAUGUUCACAUACAGUUUUGACAUCAAGGACAGCGGAAAUGUAACUUCUUGACAUCGAUUAUUGCCGACGUCGAUGGGAGUGGGAGGCUAACAUUAUGGAUUUAAGUACGGUUACAGAUAUUUUUUCAUCUGAGAAAACAGCCAUGUAAAUGAACUUAGGGAGUAACAUAUAGAUCGAUUGUUCUUCCUUUUGCAUAGGUGUUUCUCUUUUAUGACCAUUUCACA
rnacentral:lncRNA from 1 species